rfam:Triticum aestivum genome assembly, contig: Triticum_aestivum_CS42_TGACv1_scaffold_003920_1AL
CAAAUACUACCUCCGUCUGGAAUUAGUUGUCGCUGAAAUGGAUGUAUCUAGACGUAUUUCAGUGCUAGAUACAUCCGUUUGAGCGACAAGUAAUUCCGGAUGGAGGGAGUAGAAG